rnacentral:rRNA from 1 species
UGGGGAAUAUUGCACAAUGGGCGAAAGCCUGAUGCAGCAACGCCGCGUGAGUGAUGAAGGUCUUCGGAUUGUAAAGCUCUGUCUUUUGGGACGAUAAUGACGGUACCAAAGGAGGAAGCCACGGCUAACUACGUGCCAGCAGCCGCGGUAAUACGUAGGUGGCGAGUGUUGUCCGGAUUUACUGGGCGUAAAGGGUGCGUAGGCGGAUGUUUAAGUGAGAUGUGAAAUACCCGGGCUUAACUUGGGUGCUGCAUUUCAAACUGGAUAUCUAGAGUGCAGGAGAGGAGAAUGGAAUUCCUAGUGUAGCGGUGAAAUGCGUAGAGAUUAGGAAGAACACCAGUGGCGAAGGCGAUUCUCUGGACUGUAACUGACGCUGAGGCACGAAAGCGUGGGUAGCAAACAGGAUUAGAUACCCUGGUAGUCCACGCCGUAAACGAUGAGUACUAGGUGUAGGAGGUAUCGACCCCUUCUGUGCCGCAGUAAACACAUUAAGUACUCCGCCUGGGAAGUACGAUCGCAAGAUUAAAACUCUAAAGUGAAUUGAC